UAGGGAAUUUUCGUCAAUGGGCGCAAGCCUGAACGAGCAAUGCCGCGUGAACGAGGAAGGUCUUCGGAUCGUAAAGUUCUGUUGAAGGGGAAAAAGAGCGGAGAAAGGAAAUGCUUUCUGAUUGAUAUUACCCUUCGAGGAAGUCACGGCUAACUACGUGCC
rnacentral:rRNA from 1 species